rnacentral:rRNA from 1 species
UAAAAACUGUCUUUGUAAAAAGUUUUCUCGAACUUAGAAGAGCUACCUAUUAAUAUAUUUUAUUGUAGAAUAAAUAUUUAAAAUUGUUGGGUUGAAGCGAAAUGUUAUUCGUUUCUAAAUAUAUCUAGUUUUUUUAGAAAUAGAUUUAAUCUAGUUAAUUUUGUGGAAAGAUUUAAAUUAAAAGAGUUUUCUAUAAAUUAAUUAAUAUGCCAAGGGAUGAGCUAUGGUGUAAAGUUUUAUAAGUAAGUUAUAUUUAGAAUAAAAGUAGGAUUAGAAGUUUUUAUCUUUAGAAGAAUGUUAUAAUUGAUUUUUUUGUUAUUUUGAUUUAUAUAUUAGUUUUAAUUUUUAUAUAAAAAUGUAAGUUUUAAUUUUUUUUGUUUAGAAAAAAUGGUAGAAUUAGUAUAGUUUAUUUUUUAAAUUUAAGGAGUAAUUGAAAGAUUAGUUGAAGGAAUUCGGCAAGUUUAUUUUUCACCUGUUUAUUAAAAACAUGGCCUUUUGAUUAUUAUUUAAGGUCUAGCCUGCCCACUGAGAAGUUUAAAGGCCGCGGUAUUCU